CACACAUUUUCUUGGUUUAUUUUCAACUAGAAAACCACCCGGUGACAAAAACAGGAAAACCUCCUAUUAACUCUCUCUAUCUCUUUCCCUUCUAUCUUACUGUGUUAGAUUUCUUGAGAUCUUGAGUCACUUUCUGUCUCUGACUCUCAUGGAAGAAAGUGACCCAUCAUCUCCCUUUGCAUAAAAUAAUAUUAGCUUCCUUUUUACUUGCUUUUUUAUUUAUUUAUAUAUAUAUAUUUUUUUUCUUCUUCUUCACACACCGUUAUUAUUAAUUCUUCUGUAUUCUUUUUCUUAUAUGUUUUCCUUUUUAUUUUCAUGAGUUUACAAGGAUGAGGAAGUAGGGUUUUCCAUCAACAGCGUAUCACUUCUUUUAGGGUUUCAAUGAUCAUCUAGAGAUCUAUGAUCAUUACCAUAUAAAUAGUCGAAGUUUCACCCUUAUUUCUGUCUGUUUUUGUCAUUCAUUUUAAUUAUUUGGUAUUUUUUCUAUUCCUGUAUUAAAUCAUGCAUAAUAAAUACAUAGUCGGCAAAUUUCUCUGGUAUGACUCUUGAGAGGGCUUCUACUUCUGUGGGUAAAUUCUCAGAUUUCUUGCCUGAAUAUAUUAGCCCAUUUCAUUUGAUAUCAAGUGCGGGUGUAGGGUUUUUGAUCUGAUUUGUCUAUGCUGUGCAAAUUACAAAUUGUAUGUUCUAACCAAUCUAUUGGAAAAUAGAUAUAUUCUUCUAUUUUCAUGAUCUCUUCAUUAAAGGAUCAUUCGGCCUUCUCAAAGAAAGUACAGGUCACAAGCACUAAUUAUGUGAUGAUGAAGCAUUCCAUUGGUGAAGAAGUUUCAAGAGAAGUGCUUUUCUUUAUUAACAGUGAAUUCAUUAUAUUUUAUUUACCCCAAAAAAAAAGUGAAUAUUGAAUCCAUUAUAUAACUCUGAUUUUGCAGGUGAUGGCAAUUACUUUUAUAAGUUUAUUCUUAUAUUUUGUACUUGUAGAGACAGUAAAGUACAAUCCAAACCAUUUUUCCAUUUCAUAUGAAACUGUGCCAAGUCAGUCUUUGCUUUC